GUUAUUGAAGGAAUUGCUUUGUCGUAAAAGCAAGCUCUCUCUGGAAGCUUGAUCUGUCUUGAUAUGUGAUGUCUUCCGCCACAUUGUGAUGCAGCAAGAAGGUCCUCAUCAGAUGUUGAGGGGAUACUGGAGCCAUGCUCUUAUACUUUCCAACCUCCAGAACUAUGUGAAAAUAACCACUACGGGAGAGUGUGACUUGCUGAUGGCACAGCCAGUUCUGGAGACUGGGAAGCUCAAGCUGAAGGCUCUGGCAUUCAGGGUCUGGUGAGGGCUUUCUUGCUGCGUCCUUCCAUGGCAGAAGGGAUACGAAAGCAAAAGGGGGGCAGCCCCCUCAAACCUCUUUUGUGAGUAUACUAAUCCAUUCUUGUGGACACCACCCUCAUGACUGGAUCACCUCCUCUCCAGUCCUCACCUCUUGAUAUCAUCGCACAGGCAACUUGUCAACAUGGGAGUUUUAGGGGACACAGAUACCUAGCAGUGGUGACAUUGAUUUGAAUUGCUUUAGUUUGAGGUGGUUUUACAACAUCCAGGUGGAGGUGCCAACUGCGCAAGCCCUUGGAGAAGCAUGUUCAACCUCCAUUUACUGGACUCAUCAAUGGGAAGAAGAAACAAUUGAAUUUUCUCUAUAGAGCAUUGGAACAGGACCCCUGUGGAGAUGUGUUCCCAUCCCCAAAGUCAGGAUAUGCUGUGGUCAUAGUGGGACAAUGCUGGAAUGUCCCACUGUUUAUAGACUCUUCACAAACAACAGCAAGUGCUGUCUUGGAUGCUUUUUCCCAGUAACAACAACUGGUGAAACAAGCAGCACUGAGUUGCACAGAGAGGUUGAAUAACUUAACAAGAUCACACAGUGUCUAGUGGCAUUGGCCUGAUUCAAUCCAGGCAGUUGGGUUCUGGGUUUAUGCUGGGAACCACCACAAUAUACUUGUGAACUUGUGAUUCUCAGCCUCCUGAGUUGCUGGGAUUACAGGUGUGUGCCAAUGCACCUAGCUAAAAUGUAUUUAUUAUUGUACUUUGUGAUUUAAAAUAAAAUAUGUGAAAAACACUGGGCUGGAACACUCCUUACUCUGCCAACUAUUGAUGGCCAAACAAUAUUCCCCAUACUGUUACUUUCUCUAGUGAACAGACAUAGAUGUCAUGUAUGUCCUUUAAAUAUAUCAGCAGGCGCCUUGACACUGAGUGUGGGGUGCUGCAGAUGGGAAGCCAGAGGCUGAGAUCUGCUCACGUCUCGACUUGGGGAACCUGCGGCAGACAGGUGAAGUCACAGCUGCAGAGGCAAACCGACAACCUUGCACGAAGGCCACCACGCUUUGUGCAAAAAGUACUUCUGCAAGGACAUCUUCCCGGGACCUCCCUGUCCAACCUGGGACUGACGCCACUCUUGUUAUUGAUUCCUGUAGCCAAGACUGUUUUCCAAAACAUCUUAUGCAAUCCUCCUUGUCUCGCCCUUUAAGAUUUCCCCUUACCUCAAUCUCUUUGAAUAUGCCCACGUGUAUUCUUGGUACACUGCUCUGCUACUCCCAAAUACAUUCAUUAUCUUUGGAGAAUCUCUGUUUGUUGUACAGGUUGACAUAAAUAGCAGAUGCCUGCCAAUGAGCAAAGAACUGGGUCGUGAGUUG